UACGGAGGGUGCAAGCGUUAUCCGGAUUCACUGGGUUUAAAGGGUGCGUAGGUGGGUUGGUAAGUCAGUGGUGAAAUCUCCAGGCUUAACUUGGAAACUGCCAUUGAUACUAUCAAUCUUGAAUACCGUGGAGGUCAGCGGAAUAUGUCAUGUAGCGGUGAAAUGCCUAGAUAUGACAUAGAACACCAAUUGCGAAGGCAGCUGGCUACACGAAUAUUGACACUGAUGCACGAAAGCGUGGGGAUCAAACAGG
rnacentral:rRNA from 1 species